rnacentral:rRNA from 1 species
UACAGAGGUCCCAAGCGUUGUUCGGAUUCACUGGGCGUAAAGGGUGCGUAGGUGGGCUAGUAAGUCCGUGGUGAAAUCUCCAAGCUUAACUUGGAAACUGCCGUGGAUACUAUUAGUCUUGAAUAUUGUGGAGGUAAGCGGAAUAUGUCAUGUAGCGGUGAAAUGCUUAGAUAUGACAUAGAACACCGAUAGCGAAGGCAGCUUGCUACACAAUCAUUGACACUGAGGCACGAAAGCGUGGGGAUCAAACAGG